CACGUAGGGCGCGAGCGUUGUCCGGAAUUAUUGGGCGUAAAGAGCUCGUAGGCGGCCUGUUGCGUCCGCUGUGAAAGCCCGGGGCUUAACCCCGGGUCGGCAGUGGAUACGGGCAGGCUAGAGGUAGGUAGGGGAGAAUGGAAUUCCCGGUGUAGCGGUGAAAUGCGCAGAUAUCGGGAGGAACACCGGUGGCGAAGGCGGUUCUCUGGGCCU
rnacentral:rRNA from 1 species